CAACAUAAGUUCCUGAUCAGAGUUGGUUCUAAUAGAGAUCCUCCGAUACUCAAGUUAGGAAUCGAUAGAACAGAUGGAAGGAGGUGCAAGAGAGUUGCAUACCUUGGGAGUCCUCUAGUUACCUCUAUUUAUAGAGAUGAUAGCCAUAUGAGAAAAGAAUUUGAGGCCAUUUCGACUCCUUUGGAUGGCCUAUCCUGAGAUCUUUGAUCUGAUUUUUCGAUAUUGAGCAGUUGUAGCUGCUUUAUCUGAUCUGUGGCUAGCUGCUUUCAGAGAUGGUGUGAUUUGAUGAGAUUGCAUGAGAAUUUUCUAUCAAUCUUUUCCAAAUAUGACGAUUGAAGCAGGAAUCGGAGGAAAUGUGGCUCGACGGCGCACCAUGUAUACUGUUAGAGAUGAGGAUCGACGGUGGAUACCUCGAAGCCGACGUGGGGUCAAAACUCAAAACCUGACCGAAGAUUGCUUUGAUGAUGAGAGCAACGGUCGAUCUAUAGAUCGGCAAUUUGAUGUGCACGGAGAU
rnacentral:lncRNA from 1 species